CGAGGAAUAUUGCGCAAUGGAGGAAACUCUGACGCAGUAACGCCGCGUGGGGGAAGAAGACCUUCGGGUUGUAAACCUCUUUUUUUUAGGACGAGUGAGGACGGUACUAGAAGAAUAAGUCUCGGCUAACUACGUGCCAGCAGCCGCGGUAAGACGUAGGAGGCGAGCGUUAUCCGGAUUUACUGGGCGUAAAGCGCAUGUAGGCGGCUCGUCAAGUCGUGUGUUAAAGCCCCUGGCUCAACUGGGGGAGGUCAUGCGAGACUGACGGACUUGAGGGCAGUAGAGGCACGUGGAACUCCCGGUGUAGCGGUGGAAUGCGUAGAGAUCGGGAAGAACACCAGUGGCGAAGGCGACGUGCUGGGCUGCACCUGACGCUGAGAUGCGAAAGUGUGGGGAGCAAACGGGAUUAGAUACCCCCGUAGUCC
rnacentral:rRNA from 1 species